UACGUAGGGUCCGAGCGUUGUCCGGAGUUACUGGGCGUAAAGCGCGCGCAGGCGGCGGUGUUGGCCCGGCGUGAAAGCCCCCGGCUCAACCGGGGAGAGUCGUCGGGGACCGCACCGCUUGAGGGCGGUAGGGGCUGGUGGAAUGCCUGGUGUAGUGGUGAAAUGCGCAGAUAUCAGGAGGAACACCGGUGGCGAAGGCGGGUCUCUGCGCCGAUACUGACGCUGAGGAGCGAAAGCGUGGGGAGCAAACAGG
rnacentral:rRNA from 1 species